UGCCCCAGUAACGGCGAGUGAAGCGGCAAAAGCUCAAAUUUGAAAUCUGGCCUCCUACGGGGGUCCGAGUUGUAAUUUGUAGAGGAUGCUUCGGGUGUGGCCGCCGUCUAAGUUCCUUGGAACAGGACGUCAGAGAGGGUGAGAAUCCCGUCUUGGGCGGCCGGUCCGCGCCCGUGUGAAGCUCCUUCGAAGAGUCGAGUUGUUUGGGAAUGCAGCUCUAAGCGGGUGGUAAAUUUCAUCUAAAGCUAAAUACUGGUCGGAGACCGAUAGCGCACAAGUAGAGUGAUCGAAAGGUUAAAAGCACCUUGAAAAGGGAGUUAAACAGCACGUGAAAUUGUUGAAAGGGAAGCGCUUGCGGCCAGACUCGGGGGCGGGGUUCAGCGGGUGCUCGUCGCCCGUGCACUCCCCGUCUCCCGGGCCAGCAUCAGUUUCGACGGCCGGUCAAAGGCCUCCGGAAUGUGUCGUCUCUCGGGACGUCUUAUAGCCGGGGGUGCAAUGCGGCCCGUCGGGACUGAGGAACGCGCUUCGGCUCGGAUGCUG
rnacentral:rRNA from 1 species